ensembl:lncRNA
GUUCUCUGUUGUGUUUCUUCUCUCUAUAAGAGCAGGUUUCCUGCACGAGAGCCUCAUUGAUUCCUCGCGUCUCCCUUUGUUUCCUGUUUGGAUUUCUCGGGCUGUUUGUUUCCCCUCUGAGCCUGAGCGAACUCACAGGUUCCCGAAUGUGCCGCUGUCGUCACACGCCUGCUGCAUUGCUCACAUUCCUCGCAUACCUCCCCGGCUGUUUGGGAGGCAGGAAUGCGGCGGCGCGGCGCGGACGCCAACAAAGCUCGAAAAAUCCGUUUAUGGAAGAGCUUUGAUGAGCGGAGACUGUGGAUCCGUGAGACGCCGCGAGACAGGAGGAAAGUCUGCCGGGUUGGGGGGAGAGAAGGAGCGCUUGAUUCGCGAGCGGUCCCGGGUGGGGGGAAACACCUCCCCGGGCUGAAUCACUGUCUGUAAAUGUGGUGUGGGAGUCAGACGGCACGGAUCCAGUGUGCAGAGUCUGUGUGGUCCCCCUUUCUGCAGGGACGGAUUAAAGUCUGCUCUCCGGGUUUACCACACGUCUGGAGCCAGAAAGGCCUCAUUUAGGGCCCCAGACGGGCGGAGUCGGCGUAGAGCGGAGGUGGGGCAGACGACCACAGCGCCGUCUGAUACGGUGACAGUCGCCGGCUUUAAUGAAGUGGUAUUUUUAGAAGAAGUGAGGCGGGAGGAUUUGGAUAUUCCUCCGGAUUGCGAACGCUCAGAGUCGAGAGAAGCACCUCAGAGGAGCCGCGUGGAAACGAUCGGACCUGAGGUGAGGAGACGAAGGCCCUGAGGUGAGGAGACGAAGGGACCUGAGGUGAGGAGACGAAGGACCUGAGGUGAGGAGACGAAGGCCCUGAGGUGAGGAGACGAAGGACCUGAGGUGAGGAGACGAAGGACCUGAGGUGAGGAGACGAAGGGACCUGAGGUGAGGAGACGAAGGCCCGGAGGUGAGGAGACGAAGGACCUGAGGUGAGGAGACGAAGGCCCUGAGGUGAGGAGACGAAGGACCUGAGGUGAGGAGACGAAGGCCCUGAGGUGAGGAGACGAAGGGACCUGAGGUGAGGAGACGAAGGCCAACGAGAGCGUCCUGUUUGAUCUCUUCUGCAGGACUCGUCAUGUGAUCAGCAGGGACCAAUCGCACCUGCUCACCGGCAGCAAGCUCCUCCGCUCGCCUCCUCGGGACGGAAAUCAAGCAUCAAACAUCUUAAUUAAAGUCAUUCAUGAAAAUCGGUCGUUUAUUCCUCUGUUAUGAAAUGUGUUUCUCAGUCUAUAAUUAUUAGGGUUGAUCAGCACCUAAUAACCAAAAUAAAAGAACAUUUAGUUUAGAACAGAAACACACCUGACAGAGAGAUGUUACACGUUUAAUUAAAAUAAUGAAUUUAUUAUUCAUUAAAGGAUGCAUAAGAAUAAAAAGUGCCCGCUGACAUUUCCCCCCCUUCUCUCCUCGUUAAAGUCAACGUGUGAAAGCCGGACUUUUGCUGUGAUGAGUUUAUAGUUUCAUAACGAGUUUCUAAGAAAGAAAAAUGUUAAUAGAAGCUUUUAAUACGUCCCCUAAAUAUGGUUUUAAUAUGUUUGCAUGAGCCUGCCUGACGCUCCGCCCCCCCUGUGCUGCACCCAGAGCUCAUUUCUGUGUUUUACUUUAUCAACUUAUCAAACAGACCGACAGCCGCUUCCUGCAGACACGUUGGAAAUAAACAGUUUGAUGUCAUCAUGAAAUAAACAGUUUGAUGUCAUCAUGAAAUAAACAGUUUGAUGUCAUCAUGAAAUAAACAGUUUGAUGUCAUCAUGAAAUAAACAGUUUGAUGUCAUCAUGAAAUAAACAGUUUGCUGUCUUCAUGACAUGAAGAGUUUGCUGUCUUCAUGAGAUGAAGAGUUUGAUGAAGAGUUUGCUGUCUUCAUGAGAUGAAGAGUUUGAUGAAGAGUUUGCUGUCUUCAUGAGAGGAAGAGGCAUCAGGAUGAAACUGAAACGUUUUCUUCUUUCACAACGUGUUGAAAAUAAAGACGCAACGAGUCUCGUCUCUGAACUUCUCAUGCAAAUCCGCUGCAGCUUUAAAGAAGUCUUUACUGACAUUAAUCACAUGAUUUCCAUGACAUUUGCAUGUCAUUUGCAUGGACAGAGACAUUUCCCAAAGCUGCUCAUUGUCUUCAUGGACUCCGGACCUUCGUCCUUUAACUGCCGGGGUCGGAGGCUGUUAAACCGAACAGAAGAGGCCGAGAGCUUUGUAACCACCUGUGGUUCCACAAAGGCUCCGGUCUGAAAUGCUCACACCGGGUCAGUUUGGGAGGAAACGCCGCUUUACCCAUGAGCCUCGGCUGCUGCUGCUGCGGAGCAGAAGAAGAAGAAGAAGAAAUGAGGCAGUGGAGAGAUUUUAACCCAUGGAUGUUUAUCAGCAGAAUGAGAUGUUCUGUGAGGAGCUUUGUUAGUGAAAUGCAAUAAAAUGUAAUGUGUCAUAAGGCCGAUAUUUUCAAGUUACACUUGAAGAGUUUGACUUUAAAUAUGAAUCAUAGAAUUAUGUAUUUUUAUUUGUGAAAACAUGCAUCAUUCUGUAAAUUAUUUUAUGACUUCAAAGGAACACGUUUCUCUAUCAAGUGAAAAUAAUAUUGAUUUUAUUUGUUAUGAGAUUAAUUUGGAGGUUGAGAUGAUUUCAGAGGAAACACACACACACACAUACACACACACACACACACACACACACACAUAUUUCUAACAAACAUCCAGCAUUUUGUGUGAUGAAACGUUUUCUAGCUCUCUAUAAAUCUGCUGUGUGACUCAAUCUGUCCCAAUAAAUCUUCAAUAACAUCGUUAUUCAUUCUGUAAUUUGCAACUCGUUCUAAACUGUGUAAAUUUGCCCAAAC